GGUAGCAUAGUGGUUAAAGCAUUCGGCUGCUAACCAAAAGGUCUGUGGUUCAAACCCACCAGCCA
rnacentral:tRNA from 1 species